CACAGGCCAAUAAAAAUAUCAUCAAUCGAACUUACGAAGCCGAAGAGAAGCCAUUGAGUUAGUUUCUUGUUUGAAAAGUAAAAUUUGUGUUGUGAUUUAAAAGCAAGAAAUGGAGGUGCCUCCUCACAUGAUACCUUGUGGGCCACUGUGCGGCAGAGGUCACUGCCUACCCCACUGCUCCCACUACAGAAUCCAUACGUUCGUUCCGCCCCCGCCGGUGCAUCACAACUAUCCCCCGCCCCCACCUCACCACUAUCCCCCACCACAUCAUCAUCAUCAUCACCCGCCACCUCCGUUCCAUCCUCCACCGCCCCCGCAUCAUCCACCACCCCCGCAUCAUCCACCACCGCCUUACCACUCUCCUUUCCACAGCCUGCUGCGUUAAUAUGAAAACUGUGAAAUACCUCAAACUGUGAAAUAGCAACUUUGACGACAACUUUUUAUUGACAAAAGGAUAGAAAGAUUAACCGUCCUUUUAUAGACAUAACAUUUAUGGACAUUAAAAGUAAUCUCUUUUUUAAUACUUUCUGUCACGAUGCUUUGCACUUGAA
rnacentral:lncRNA from 1 species